rnacentral:misc_RNA from 1 species
UCACCCCUCAAGCCCCCGGCUUGGUGUUGGACGGUUGGUGGCGGUAACGUCACCCCUCCCAAAGACAAUGACGGCGGCCUCGUUGGACCCCCGGUACACUGAGUUCCUCACCGAACACGUAUCGGAUCAAGGGUGCGCGGGUCACGGUCUGCCUCCCCUCAGGGAGAACUUUUUUCAA